CCCGUGUUAGGAAAGCUGAAGAUUCAAAAGCCCGCUGGAGCUCUGUUCUAGGGCCCUGGUUCUCAACCUGGGAUGAGCUGACCCCAUAACUCUAUGACAAGGAGAACAGCAAAAAAGCCCAACAGUCAAGCAUCAUGUCCUUGAAAACACCUGGAAGAUUAUGAAAGUGCACUGCAAAGCGGCCUCAGAUACAGUGGAGCACAGACCAGCUCUCAUCUCCUGAACGAAACACACAGAAAGAGCAAGGGAAAGAAGAGCAUGGAUAACCCGUAGCCCCUGACUAACCAAGGGGAGCGUGAACAUCUACAGUGGGUGUCUAUGACCGAAGGGCAGGACACACCAACACCAGGCCCCAGAUCCCAGCCUGGACUACAUUAUCACGAGACAGGCCUGCGCUCUACGGCCCCUGUCCCAGGAACAUCUGGGGGCACACAGCUGCAGAUGUGGCCAGGACUCAGCGACAACCGGUGGGUUCCCAGUACGGUCUUCCAGUUGCUAGUCAGCACAGCUUCCCAGGACAAUAUUUGGAGUCUCCGAACGAGAAUGCAAGUAAAACAUUUUAAUACGAAUCAUUUCAACCAGAGCAAGGCAAUUGGCUUCCGAUGAAGCUGGCAAGAGACACUCAUGAACUCAUUCCAAUUGACAUCUUUCGAGGGGCUCUCGCCAAGUGCAAUUGGCCGCUUCGUAAUUAUGAAGAGAUCUGAGCUGUUUCCACCCCAGCAGGGUUAGGCGCACUGGUAUCUGAUUCAGUGUUUACUUCAUGAAUGAGGUCAGUUCCCAGCACAGCUGGGGCUCAGGCGCGGAGACUGGUCAUCAGACCACGUCCAGGUUACAAUUCCACCCUCGGGUGUUAGCCGUAGGCCAGCCAGCUUGCGGCUCAGCUGGCUUAGCCACACCCCUGCGUGUUUUCUGGGGUCUGACUCUGUGUCUGCUCCCUGGAGAAGCAGACCCCAGCCCGAUGCAGCCUCCACGUGAUGAAGUCACAGCCAAGUUUCCCACACACAGUGCUUCCUGAUGCGGCCUGCCUCUUUGGUGUCGCCACACUGUGCUCCUGGCCACCCCCUCAGGAGCUGCAGAACUGCCAGGAAACAGGGGAAAAUAUUUCCAGAUCUGAGUGGCUGCAGGGCCAGACAGCAUCUAUGAGUCCUCCGUUGUGUGACCUUAGCCGCAUCCGCUAAGCUGCGGCCAGGCCUGAUUGCAGAAAUGAACUCAAGCAAAAACGCUGGAAAAAAGAAAAAUCAAGAGGUCUGAAAUUUGCCCCAUCAAGUCUUUUGAAACCAAACUGGUCCGACUUUUGAAGGGUUUGACGUCCUAACAUUCCCAAGUAAGACUACAUUUUGAAAAACAAUGGUUGUUUUGUGUGUGUGUGUGUGUGUGUGUGUGUGUGUGUGUGUGUGUGUGUGUGUGUACGCGCGCGUUGGAAUGUGAGAGGUUUAGCAUAGUCCUUAGGAAAUCAGCUCUUAAACUCGAAAUUUGAGAUGCGUGGACAGAAUGGGCCACGAGGCUAUGCUUGCCCCAGUGAACUCAUGUGAUGUGGAGACUGCCUGGAAUUGUCGGGAAGUUAAAUGUUAGCCUCUGAAAAAGGCCGUCCUCAGAGAGCAGCUGCUGUUAUUCUAAGUGCACUGUAAGCAGCGUUCUAUUUACAGUCCUCACACCUGGCACUUGAACGUUCCUUGCUUUCCAGUGGGUGCCCUGGAGCCCUGGGCUUCUUUCCCGACAUCAGUCCCCUUUUCCGCGUCCAGGCAGUUUCACUCUGCAUUCUGACUAGAAAGGAACGACCAUUGUAAAAAACAGCAAGGCCACAGCCUUUUGCCUCUAUUGCUGAAACUGAUCUCAAGUAAAGACUAGAUGACCCGACAAAGGAGGAUAGGGUUUGGGACAGAGGGGCCAGGAGACAGGAUGAGGAGUGUCCCUGUUGUCAUACCAGAGAGAAAGCCAGAUACACUCACCCAGCGCUCUGCAUCCCAUCGUGCCUGUCUAAAUAAACCCAGGUCUGUAACCUUCAGUGGCAUCUGGAAAAGCAGGUCCCGAGAAAGGAAGGAAAUCCUGAAACGGCUCUGCAGAUAAGGCCCUUGCCCUCAAACCUGGAGAUCCGAGUUCAAUUCCCAGGACC